rnacentral:snRNA from 1 species
UUGCUUUGGCAGCACAUACUCUAAAACUGGAAAGAUAUGGAGAAGAUUAGCGUAGCGCCUGCACAAGGAUGACAUGCAAAUUCAUGAAAUGUUCCAUAAUUUU